rnacentral:lncRNA from 10 species
CGGGACAUUAAAGUUGGCCAGCAUACCUGUGAGGACAUCUGUAAAGGCGAAGAUCAAACUGAUGAAGAAACUGUCAAGAAAUGCUGUUGAAUCUCAGGUACUAUCGUUGGCCCAUUUUAACAAUUUUAAGGAAUCAGGUUUUGAAAUUUGGUCCACAAAGAAUUAUGUAUUUACUCAUACAUUUUACCCGCAAAUAGUAUAUGUUACCUCCAAAGGAGCAAUGCUGGUUGAAUUAUUUAUAAAAUGAUAAGCUUCUCAAGGAAGCUAUUAAGAGAGAGAAACCAGGGCCUUUUUCCUACACAGUGAUGGUUAAUAAAUCAAAAUAGACACUUUGUUAAUAUGGCUAAAUAUAAUAACAAUACUGACAACUAUAAAAGUCAAAUUAUUACAGAAAACAAAACUAAGUAUCAUAUAAUGCCUUUCUUAUUGAUCUGAGCAGUUCCAGUCAACCCUUACUAAAACUAUUUUUAUUAGAAGAUUUAAGGGUUAUGCUUUUAUUGUUUUCAACUCAUCUUGAAUCUUUCAAGCUGGAGAUUAACUCCCUAGGGACUACUUCUGACUGUGACGCUUUCAGGACAACAUAGUUCAGCCACCUAGAGAUUAUCGACAUGUCGCAAAUAAGAUUCUUUUCUAGGGCUGCUUUCUGGAAAUGAAAGCAGUCUGUAGUGGGCUCUUCCAUCCCCAGUCAGGUGAAUAAGCUCAAAGGAUAUGUGUACCCUUUCUCCAUAAUAAAAGAAGAUAAAUGUUAUAGUAGAUGAGGCAUAAUGCUGUUUGCCUGUGCAAAAUUACAAGAUGGGCUUUUCCUAAUCAUAAGAAACCAAUUUUCCAAUGUCAGUCUUACAAGGAGUGGAAGUUUCUCACUUUCAAAGGUCACCAUGGCUAAGUGGUCAUUUUAGAAACCACCUCUAAGACAGGCUCAGAUAAAUCUUUUUCAGAUAUAGUUUAUAGUCAUAAAAAGACCAUAUUAAACCCUACGUUGAAAAAAGACACCAUGUAUUCCAGAACAUAUAAUUAUGAAACAACAUGUACAAAACUUUUAAAUAAUUUUUUCAAAAAAUUUUCAAGUACAUUUAUAUUUCACUUUAUUUUCUGAGGAUGAACUGAAUUAUAAUACAAAGCCUAGAAACUCAGAGUUUUGUAAAGGAGAUGACCACCUCCCUGAAGAGGAUCCAAUAUUUCCUAAUGGAGGCUAUUACAUAAUUACAUGUUUAAAAUUGCAUUAGCUUUCUGUCCUUUAAUUCUACUCCUUGAGUAUAUUUGGCAUAACUAUUGUUUACUCUCUUUCAACUUUACCCUAUCCAAAUUCAUUUGUAAACAUUAAACUUAUAUGCUAAAUAUCAAUAUGCAGUUUUCUUCCUUUACUUAAAAACACACAUGUAUCAAUUUCUUUGAUUACUGCAAUCCUGUCUGCAGUACAGAUAUAUGCAUGCUGUCUGUAAUUUCUGUUGUGUGUCUGCAUCUUAUCGCCACACAGGACUCUUAAGUUCUUGGAUGGUAGAGAUGUAUACAUUCCUGGUCUGAUCAAUAUCCUCAAGA